GGGAGGGAAAGUUGUUUGAAUCUAUUUUUCACAGCAGCCACAUGUGUUUUCCACAUUGUUCACACAGGCCUGGACAAGCUGAGCUCUAAGCUUCUGCCAGUGGAGCUAGAGGGGCCUUGACAUCUACUUCACAUGGUGUAGUAUCCAGGGACCCUGACUGCAUCUACUGCAACAUUACAGAACUACACACAGCUGUGCCAUCUAUAUGGUUGUUGGAGUUUUGGCUUUAAUUUGACUGCAGUAUUGGAGAGACUCUUUUGGGUUUUCAUCUUGUAGUAAGGUAGCUAGACUAAAGUUUUACAGAAUUGAAUUCAGGGCUGGUCCAGGAUAAGUGUCUAUAAAUCCAAUAUUUGGGUAUUCUAUCCACCUCUCAGGGGUGACCCUCAGAAGGGACACUACAGACUGGGAGGGCCCUUGGUCUUGUGAUGAUUAUAUGCCCCAGUACAGGGGAAUGCCAGGGCCAGGAAGUGGGAUAGGUGGGUUGGGGAGGGUAUAGGGGACUUUUGGUAUAGCAUUUGAAAUGUAAAUGAGUAAAAUAUCUAAUAAAAUAUUGUUUUAAAAAAAAGAAAAAUAGAAUGGACCUGACUGUGAACCUCUUGGCAACUUCCUAGAAAUCUUAGGAAAAAAAAUACCACAAAGUUUGUCAAAGUCACUUUGUGAGCUUCUUUUACAGCAUGACUUUAGAGGCAGCUACCCACAAAUAAGACAUCCAACUAACAGAAUGAAGUCUUUUGGACACAUAAGCUACAGGCCUCUUCUAGGGUACCUGUGCUUGAUCCAGGUCCUCCGUUGUAAUCUCUUACAUAGGGCGGGGUAUCCUUCUUCCAUCUUCCUAUUCUACAGUCUCUGGCUUCCUUUUCUGGGAUCUCUUUCAUCCUUUUUUAAAUUUAUUUUUCUAGAGAGUCACAGUUAAUGUAAAACUUUUGGGCAAUGUGCAAUACUUGAGGCCUAAUUAUGUUUGUAAAUAUUACUAACGUCUAAAGUUUCUAUUUUCUUUUUUUAUUAAACGAAUAAAAUUUAUUUUAAAAUAUACAACCAAGUAUCGACACGUUUUUAGUCAUCAAAAUAAUUUUAUAAUAGGUAAAUACCUCUUAAAUAUAUAUGAUAACCUCUGAAGCUAAAAGUAAUAUGCACUCAGCCAGUUUUUAAAAUCUAUUUGGAACAUUAAACAUGAUAGAAGUAGAAAAAAAUCUCUUAUGAGAAAUUGUGACAUAUUCCUGAUUAGAAAGUACCAUUCUAUCCCAAGGGAGAAUACAAAGUUUAACUAUGGCUUCAUAGAAUGAACUGGGUAGUGUUCCUUCUGUUACUAUUUUGUGGAAUAGUUUGAAGAGUACUGGUAUUAAGUCUUCUUUGAAGGUCUGAUAGAACUCUGCACUAAACCCAUCGGGCUCUGGGCUUUUUUCUUGGUUGGGAGACUUUUAAUGACUGCUUCUGCUUCUUUAGGGGUUAUGGGAUUUGUUAGAUGGUUUAGCUGAUUCUGAUUUAAUUUGGUAUUUGGUAUCUGCCUAGAAAAAGGUACAUAUUAUCCAGAUUUUCCAGUUUUAUAGAAUAUAGGCUUUUGUAGUAGGAUUUGAUGAGCUUUUUGAAUUUCCUCAGUUUCUUUUAUUAUAUCUCUCCUUUCACUUCUGAUUUUUUUAAAUUUGGGUACUGCCUUUGUGCCCUCUGGUUAGUCUGGCUAAGGGUUUAUCUAUCUUGUUAUUUUCUCAAAGAACCAGCUUCUGUUUGUUUGUUUGUUUGUUUUGAUUCUUUGUGUAGUUCUUUCUGUUUUUACUUGGUUGAUCUUAUUCCCGACUUUGAUUAUUUACUGCCCUCUACUCCUUUUGGGUGUAUUUGCUUCUUUUAGUUCUAGAGCUUUCAGAUGUGUUGUUAAGCUGCUAGUGUAUGCUCUCUCUCUCUCAGUUUCUUUUUGGGGGCACUCAGAGCUAUGGGUUUUCCUCUUAGCACUGCUUUCAUUGUGUCCUAUAAGAUUGGGAAUGCUGUGCCUUCAUAUUCAUUAACUUCAGAAGUCUUUAAUUUCUUUCAGACCAAGUUAUCAUUGAGUAGAGCAUCGCUCAGCUUCCAUAUGUCUGUGGGCAUUUUGUUGGUUAUGUUGCUAUUGAAGACCAACCUUAGUCCAUAUUGUUCUGAUAGGAUGCAUGAGAUUAUUUCAAUCUUCUUUUAUCUGUUGAGGCCUAUUUUGUGACUAAUUAUAUGACCAGUUUUGGAGAAGGUACUGUGAGGUACUGAGAAGAAAGUAUAUUCUUUUGUUUUAGGAUGAAAUGUCCUAUAGAUAUCUGUUAAAUUCAUUUGGUCCAUAACUUUUGUUAGUUUCAUUGUGUCUCUGUUUAGUUUAUGUUUCAAUGAUCUGUCCAUUGAUGAGAGUGGAAUGUUGGAAUCUCCCAGUAUUAUUGUGUGAGGCACAAUGUGUGCUUGAGCUUUAGUAAAGUUUAUUUUAUAAAUGUAGGUAUCAUUGCAUUUGGAGCAUAGAUGCUCAAAAUUGAAAGUUCUUCUUGGUAGAUUUUUCCUUUGAUGAGUAUGAAGUGACCUUCCUUAUCUUUUUUGGUAACUUUUGGUUUAAAGUUGAUUUUAUUUGAUAUUAGAGUGUUUAUUCAAGCUUGUUUCUUGGGACCAUUUGCUUGGAAAUUUGUUUUCCAUUCCUUUACUUUGAGAUAGUGUGUGUUUUUGACAUUGAGGAGAGUUUCCUGUAUGU
rnacentral:lncRNA from 1 species